rnacentral:rRNA from 1 species
ACGGAGGGUGCAAGCGUUACUCGGAAUCACUGGGCGUAAAGAGCGUGUAGGCGGGAAAAUAAGUCAGAAGUGAAAACCAAUAGCUUAACUAUUGAACUGCCUUUGAUACUGUAUAUCUUGAAUGUGGGCGAGGUAGAUGGAAUUUCUGGUGUAGGGGUAAAAUCCGUAGAGAUCAGAAGGAAUACCGAUUGCGAAGGCGAUCUACUGGAACAUUAUUGACGCUGAGACGCGAAAGCGUGGGGAGCGAACAG